rnacentral:rRNA from 1 species
AACGAACGCUGGCGGCAGGCCUAACACAUGCAAGUCGAGCGAAGCCUUCGGGCUUAGCGGCGGACGGGUGAGUAACGCGUGGGAACGUGCCCUUUGGUACGGAAUAGCCCCGGGAAACUGGGAGUAAUACCGUAUGUGGUCGAGAGAUGAAAGAUUUAUCGCCAAAGGAUCGGCCCGCGUUGGAUUAGGUAGUUGGUGGGGUAAUGGCCUACCAAGCCGACGAUCCAUAGCUGGUUUGAGAGGAUGAUCAGCCGCACUGGGACUGAGACACGGCCCAGACUCCUACGGGAGGCAGCAGUGGGGAAUCUUAGACAAUGGGGGAAACCCUGAUCUAGCCAUGCCGCGUGAUCGAUGAAGGCCUUAGGGUUGUAAAGAUCUUUCAGUGGGGAAGAUAAUGACUGUACCCUCAGAAGAAGCCCCGGCUAACUCCGUGCCAGCCGCCGCGGUAACAC